rnacentral:rRNA from 1 species
UACGUAGGGCGCAAGCGUUGUCCGGAAUCAUUGGGCGUAAAGCGCGCGUAGGCGGCCUCAUAAGUCCGUUGUGAAAGUCAAAGGCUCAACCUUUGAAAGCCGAUGGAUACUGUGAGGCUAGAGUCCGGAAGAGGCGAGUGGAAUUCCUGGUGUAGCGGUGGAAUGCGCAGAUAUCAGGAGGAACACCAAUAGCGAAGGCAGCUCGCUGGGACGGUACUGACGCUAAGGCGCGAAAGCGUGGGGAGCGAACAGG